rnacentral:rRNA from 1 species
GACGAACGCUGGCGGCGUGCUUAACACAUGCAAGUCGAACGGUGAAGCGCCUUCCUUUUUGGUGGGUGUGGAUGAGUGGCGAACGGGUGAGUAACACGUGAGUAACCUGCCCCCUUCUUCUGGAUAACCGCAUGAAAGUGUGGCUAAUACGGGAUAUUCUGGGUCUGUCGCAUGAUGGGUCUGGGAAAGAUAUUGUUUCGGUGGGGGAUGGGCUCGCGGCCUAUCAGCUUGUUGGUGUGGUGAUGGCCUACCAAGGCGGUGACGGGUAGCCGGCCUGGGAGGGUGGGCGGCCAUACUGGGGAGGAGACACGGCGCAGACUCCGACGGGAGGCAGCAGUGGAGAAUAUUGCACAAUGGGAGCAAGGCUGAUGCAGCGACGCCGCGUGAGGGAUGGAGGCCUGCGGGUUGUGAACCUCUUUCGCCAGUGAAGCAGGCCUGCCUCGUUUGUGGGUGGGUUGACGGUAGCUGGAUAAGAAGCGCCGGCUAACUACGUG